GGCGCGGUAGCCAAGUGGCAAGGCAGUGCUCUGCAAAAGCACUAUACGUGGGUUCGAUUCCCGCCCGCGCCU
rnacentral:tRNA from 1 species